rnacentral:rRNA from 1 species
CCUACGGGAGGCAGCAGUGAGGAAUAUUGGUCAAUGGUCGGGAGACUGAACCAGCCAAGCCGCGUGAGGGAGGAAGGUACAGAGUAUCGUAAACCUCUUUUGUCAGGGAACAAAGGCGGGGACGUGUCCCCGGAUGAGUGUACCUGAAGAAAAAGCAUCGGAUAACUCCGUGCCAGCAGCCGCGGUAAUACGGAGGAUGCGAGCUUUAUCCGGAUUUAUUGGGUUUAAAGGUUGCUCAGGCGGUCUGUUAAGACAGCGGUAAAAGCCCGGGGCUCAACCCCGGCCCGCCGUUGAAACUGGCAGUCUCGAGUUGGAGAGAAGUAUGCGGAAUGCGCGGUGUAGCGGUGAAAUGCAUAGAUAUCGCGCAGAACUCCGAUUGCGAAGGCAGCAUGCCGGCUCCACACUGACGCUGAGGCACGAAAGCGUGGGUAUCGAACAGGAUUAGAUACCCCAGUAGUC